ACAGUUCCUAUUAAAAAGGUGUAUUUAUAUUUAUUAUAAAAAACAGGCGGCAAAUUUGCUGCAAAUCUCGAUUUUUUUGGAGAAAAACCCUCGACGAUCUCAGAUGCGCACCACGUAGUCCACUUUUUUUCGUGAAACCCCUCUGGUAUCUGAGACCAUGUAUGGCGAUAUCGAUCAGAACCCCACCACCAACGGAUCAUCACUCCCUCUCUAGCAUCGCUUCCAUCCAAGAGACCAAGAGCUGAUAAGUUUAUAUAUUUUAUUUCAAUGGGUUGUUUUUGCAUACAAAUUAAAACUACACUGAUUGAAUGCGAUUGUAUUUGAAGCUGGUAAGUAUAUAUUACAAUAAAAUGUUUUUUACAUCUUUAUAUUACAGGAUGUUAUUGCAAUAAAAAGUCUGGAUGGGUUAGCUGGAAUUUAUCUAACACACAACUUUUCUAAACCACAUAAGUUGACCGACAAAGAAAACAUGUUUGCUUGGUGAAGAGUUUCACACAUUGGAUAUUUAUGUGACUACAUACUUCAUCGGGGUAAUUUUAUAACUAUAGUUCAAUACUUCAGGGAAUAUGCUUCCUGAACAGGUUUGCCCACCGGGAUGAUUUGACGUUUAUCGUAUUUUAUAAACAUUUGUAAAGUGUUUUACUUGGAAAACAAAAAACAUGGUGGAUAAAUGGUUCCUAUCAAUAUCAUAAUAGUGUAUGUUUGCUUACAUAAUACUAUUAUUUUUUCCCAGUACUUGUAAACUGGAUGACCAUGCUUUCAAAGAAAGUAUUGCGCACUCCUAUCACAAGGUCUAAUCUCAGUUUAUCUUGGAAAGGUCAGUAUUAACAUAACUAACAUGAUGUGCUCCUUUUCCAUAAUCCAUGUCCUUUGAUAGAGUUAUUUGUCAUGAUUACUAGACACUACCGAAAUAUGUAACAUGUAAUGUUGAAUGUAAUUACAAAUAUCAAGAUCUUGAUUCUUCAAUA